rnacentral:rRNA from 1 species
UCUGGGACAAGCCCUGGAAACGGGGUCUAAUACCGGAUAAUACCUUCUCCUGCAUGGGAGGGGGUUGAAAGCUCCGGCGGUGAAGGAUGAGCCCGCGGCCUAUCAUCUUGUUGGUGGGGUGAUGGCCUACCAAGGCGACGACGGGUAGCCGGCCUGAGAGGGCGACCGGCCACACUGGGACUGAGACACGGCCCAGACUCCUACGGGAGGCAGCAGUGGGGAAUAUUGCACAAUGGGCGAAAGCCUGAUGCAGCGACGCCGCGUGAGGGAUGACGGCCUUCGGGUUGUAAACCUCUUUCAGCAGGGAAGAAGCGCAAGUGACGGUACCUGCAGAAGAAGCACCGGCUAACUACGUGCCAGCAGCCGCGGUAAUACGUAGGGUGCGAGCGUUGUCCGGAAUUAUUGGGCGUAAAGAGCUCGUAGGCGGCUUGUCACGUCGGUUGUGAAAGCCCGGGGCUUAACCCCGGGUCUGCAGUCGAUACGGGCAGGCUAGAGUGUGGUAGGGGAGAUCGGAAUUCCUGGUGUAGCGGUGAAAUGCGCAGAUAUCAGGAGGAACACCGGUGGCGAAGGCGGAUCUCUGGGCCAUUACUGACGCUGAGGAGCGAAAGCGUGGGGAGCGAACAGGAUUAGAUACCCUGGUAGUCCACGCCGUAAACGUUGGGAACUAGGUGUUGGCGACAUUCCACGUCGUCGGGUGCCGCAGCUAACGCAUUAAGUUCCCCGCCUGG